rnacentral:misc_RNA from 1 species
UCCGGUUUGUCACCGGCAGUCUCGCAUGAGUCCCAACUAAAUGCUGGCAACAUGCGACAGGGGUUGCGCUCGUCGCGGGACUUAACCCAACAUCUCACGACACGAGCUGACGACAACCAUGCACCACCUGUAAACCGACCGCAAGCGGGGCACCUGUUUCCAGGUCUUUCCGGUUCAUGUCAAGCCUUGGUAAGGUUCUUCGCGUUGCAUCGAAUUAAUCCACAUGCUCCGCCGCUUGUGCGGGCCCCCGUCAAUUCCUUUGAGUUUUAGCCUUGCGGCCGUACUCCCCAGGCGGGGCGCUUAAUGCGUUAGCUGCGGCACAGAGACCGUGGAAUGGCCCCCACACCUAGCGCCCACCGUUUACGGCGUGGACUAC